UACGGAGGGUGCAAGCGUUGUCCGGAUUUAUUGGGUUUGAAGGGUGCGUAGGCGGCUGUUUAGGUCAGCGGUGAGAGUUUUGGGCUCAACCCAGAAAUUGCCAUUGAUACUGGACAGCUUGAGUAUUGGAGGGGUACAUGGAAUUGAUGGUGUAGCGGUGAAAUGCAUAGAUACCAUCAGGAACACCGAUAGCGAAGGCAGUGUACUGGCCAAUAACUGACGCUGAUGCACGAAAGCAUGGGUAGCGAACAGG
rnacentral:rRNA from 1 species